rnacentral:lncRNA from 1 species
UGAAAUAGUAAAACCACCCACUCUUCUCCAUCGCAGUGCCGUCGUCUUCCUUCCUGCCUCCUGGACCUUGAUAUAACUCUUUCUCUCUCUCUCUCUCUCUCUUCUUCUCCUUAUCUGGUCUUGCGAUCCACGCUAGGGAGGGAGAAGAGUCUCUCUUCUCUUCUAAUCGAAACCUUUUUUUAUCUUCCAACUUUUUUUAUCUCUUCUAAUCGUCUCUUCUCUUCGAUUUUUGUGCGUCUUUUGAGAAUUUUUUUGGGUUAUGUACGAUUUUUAUGUGGCAGAUAUUGUAUUUUU